rnacentral:snRNA from 9 species
AUACCUACCUGGCGUCGGGCUACCGUGAUCGUGCAGGCGGUUUCCCCGGGGUGCGGCUGCUCCAUUGCACUGCGGAGUGGUUGACCCUUGCGAUUAUUUUUAUAUUUUAUAAGUUUCACUUCUACCGUGUGUGACUUUGCACACACACACAUUUUGUUUUAUUGAGUAAACUUUUCAGUUUGACUUUU